UACGUAGGGUGCAAGCGUUAUCCGGAAUUACUGGGCGUAAAGAGCUCGUAGGCGGUUUGUCGCGUCUGCCGUGAAAGUCCGGGGCUCAACUCCGGAUCUGCGGUGGGUACGGGCAGACUAGAGUGAUGUAGGGGAGACUGGAAUUCCUGGUGUAGCGGUGAAAUGCGCAGAUAUCAGGAGGAACACCGAUGGCGAAGGCAGGUCUCUGGGCAUUAACUGACGCUGAGGAGCGAAAGCAUGGGGAGCGAACAGG
rnacentral:rRNA from 1 species